CACGCCGUAAACGAUGGGCACUAGGUGUGGGAGGUGUCGACUCCUCCCGUGCCGUCGCUAACGCACUAAGUGCCCCGCCUGGGGAGUACGGCCGCAAGGCUAAAACUCAAAGGAAUUGACGGGGGCCCGCACAAGCAGCGGAGCAUGUGGUUUAAUUCGACGCAACGCGAAGAACCUUACCUGGGCUUGACAUGUAGGUGACCGCCGUGGAAACACGGUUUUCCUUCGGGACACCUUCACAGGUGGUGCAUGGCUGUCG
rnacentral:rRNA from 1 species